CGAGGGUUCAGCUGUCUCUUACUUUUAACCAGUGAAAUUGACCUGCCCGUGAAGAGGCGGGCAUGACACAGCAAGACGAGAAGACCCUAUGGAGCUUAAAUUAUAUAACUUAUCUAUUUAAUUUAUUAAACCUAAUGGCCCAAAAACUAUAGUAUAAGUUUGAAAUUUCGGUUGGGGUGACCUCGGAGAAUAAAAAAUCCUCCGAAUGAUUAUAACCUAGACUUACAAGUCAAAGUAAAAUCAACAUAUCUUAUUGACCCAGAUAUAUUUUGAUCAACGGACCAAGUUACCCUAGGGAUAACAGCGCAAUCCUAUUCUAGAGUCCAUAUCAACAAUAGGGUUUACGACCUCGAUGUUGGAUCAGGACAUCCCGAUGGUGCAGCCGCUAUUAAAGGUUCGUUUGUUCAACGAUUAAAGUCCUACGUGAUCUGAGUUCAGACCGGAGUAAUCCAGGUCGGUUUCUAUCUACUUCAAAUUCCUCCCUGU
rnacentral:rRNA from 1 species